rnacentral:sRNA from 1 species
GCAGUAAGUGAAUCGUGAAGGGUUUGAACCUGCAGCAGGUUCGAGUGGAGCGUAAGCGACACAGCGUUGCAAAACAACGACCCGAAGGGUGAGGCCAAAGGCCGAAUCAUCCUGCACGACCCACCA